rnacentral:lncRNA from 1 species
UCCAAUCAACAACAACUUGGGAGUUCUUCACAUCUUCUUCUUCAAUCUCUGGAUAACAAGGGAAAACUACCUUUUCUUUGCCCUUCUUCCCCACUUUCCGUCGCACCCUACGACGCAUAAUCUCUGCAGAUUCCGAUGAAUCGCACCAAGACAAACCAGCUGCCUGCUUUUAUAGCUUAUAACAGCAGUCCUACAACAGAACCCAACUCAA